rnacentral:rRNA from 1 species
AACGAACGUUGGCGGCGUGCUUAACACAUGCAAGUCGAACGAGAACGGUUCCUUCGGGAGCUCAGUAAAGUGGCGCACGGGUGAGUAACCGCGUAGAUAACCUGUCCAGGUGUAUGGGAUAGCCCUUCGAAAGGGGGAUUAAUACCGUAUACGUUGGUUUGUCUUAAGACAGAUCAAGAAAGGUGGCCUCUAUUUAUAAGCUAUCGCAUUUGGAGGGGUCUGCGUACCAUUAGUUUGUUGGUGGGGUAAUGGCCUACCAAGACUUCGAUGGUUAGCGGGUCUGAGAGGAUGAUCCGUCACACUGGCACUGAAACACGGGCCAGACUCCUACGGGAGGCAGCAGUGAGGAAUAUUGCGCAAUGGGGGAACCCUGACGCAGCGACGCCGCGUGGGUGAGGAAGGCUUUCGGGUCGUAAAGCCCUGUCAGAAGGGAAGAAAUGCUAUGUGGUUAAUACCCAUAUAGUUUGACGGUACCUUCAAAGGAAGCACCGGCUAACUCCGUGCCAGCAGCCGCGGUAAUACGGAGGGUGCAAACGUUGUUCGGAAUCACUGGGCGUAAAGGGCGCGCAGGCGGUUUGAUUAGUCAGAUGUGAAAGCCCACGGCUUAACCGUGGAAGUGCAUUUGAAACUGUCAGACUUGAGUACCAGAGGGGGUAGUGGAAUUCCCGGUGUAGAGGUGAAAUUCGUAGAUAUCGGGAGGAAUACCGGUGGCGAAGGCGACUACCUGGCUGGAUACUGACGCUGAGGCGCGAAAGCGUGGGGAGCAAACAGGAUUAGAUACCCUGGUAGUCCACGCCGUAAACGAUGUGAACUAGGUGUAGGGGGUGUUGAUCCCCUCUGUGCCGCAGCUAACGCAUUAAGUUCACCGCCUGGGGAGUACGGUCGCAAGAUUAAAACUCAAAGGAAUUGACGG